CCAAGGCACACAGCAUUGUAGGCCAGGCAUCUGGCCUACAGGAUACUCACCCAGUCUUUACGGAGCAACUGUAAAAAACAACAACUGUUUACAAUUAGCAUAGUAUCACCUGGAAUCUACUUACAUAUCGAUCCUCUCAUUUCAAGAGAAGAACUUCUCCAAUGCACGUCCUACCAUACUGUGGAAACUGGGAACUCAUUCUGCAUCUAGUUGGAUAGGAGAUUAAUUUCUAAACCCACAGCCCUUAUUCUGCCCACACCCUGCCCCUGAUCUACCCAAAGCAUUUGCAAAGUGAUGAGGAGGCAGCCUCCUGGGAUAGAAACUUUGAAGAAAAAGACCAGUUCCAGAUGGGCUGGGAAAAGGGGAGAUAGGGCAGAGGUGGGGUGGAGUGUUCCGUAUUCCUGAGGUAUACUUACAGUGAAAUCUAUAUUCAGUUUGUCAGGGGAGACAUAUGAAGUCCCCCGUAACAUCAGAUGCAUCUCUCUCACUGGAGGGUCUCUGCCUGGUGUCCACCCCAGCUCCCGGGAGUGAAUCUGAAAUGUUAUUUGAGCACUGUGCAGAAACAACCUAACAGAGCAGGCUUGGCUGCUGUCCUCUCGAGGCUGCCUGUCAGGUUGGCCCUUGGUUGGGGUCUGUGAACUUGGAUUUUGGGAGGGUUCCCACCACCUUAACUGGUAAGAGUAACUCACUGUGCCUCUAUGGUGUGCAAACACUGUGGUUUCUGCUGAACACCUGCUUUCCUUCUGGAGUCUGGAACUUUGUGUGUGCUAGGCAGAGGAUGCCUGCGUGACCGGCCCCCAACAGAACCCUAGGCGCUGAGUCUCUAAUGAGCACCCCUGGUAGACAACACUUCCCACGGGCUCUUAACUUGUCUCUGGGAUAUUAAGAGUCUCCUAUGUGAUGUCACUAAAAGUGACUUUUGGAAGCUGGAGCCUGGUUUCCCCCACAUUUAACCCCAUGUGCCUCUUCGCUUUGCUAAUUUUGCUUUGUGCCUUUUCACUGUAGUAAGUCACAGCUGAAAGUACCACUCUAAGCUGAGUCAUGUGAGUCCUCCUGGCACAUCACUGAGCCUGGUGGUGGCCUUGGGAACACCCAAUACAAGCAGCAAAAUCCAGACUGUUUUGCUCAAACAACCUCCAACCCGUUAUUAGUGAGAUGAAAGCACGUGUGGCAAGGGCCAACUACUGAAGUUCCACAAGAAAGCUUAUGUCAAACAAGCAAGAUGCUAGGCUCAGAUUAUUUCCAUUUCAAAGUUUAAGUUCAGAAUUAUUAGGUUAAAUGCCACUCAGAGCAAAUACAGUACUUCAACUUAAUUCAAGGCUAUAACAUCAAUUUUUAUCUUUAAGAUGACUGCAAGCCAUUGGCUAUCUUAUCUGGCAAAUAUUUAUAAAAUAUACAAUCAAGUCCCUUAUGCCUCAAAGCAAAAACGUGUCGGAACCAAUGAUUACACAAAUGCAUUUUAAGUAUACAACAAAUCCUUAUGAUGCUGAUCAAGUAAAAACCUAGCCCCAUGCUCUGGCAGAGGCAGAGAAGGAGAAUGAUGUCUUCCAAGAAAGUGGGGUGACUGCAGGCUAAGGGCAUACAUUUCCACCUUUUUGUUUUUUAAAGACACAAAUCCACGGAAGAAUGUGAGAGACAACAGCAAAAAGUUUCAGAAGCUGACAUGCAAAUGGACAACUGAGCUAGCCAACCUAAGCCAACAGUGAGAAAAGCCUAGAACAGCCAGCCCUGGACCCCAGAAUCCCCCAAAGGUCGGGAAUAGGCAGCACAGGGUGAGGCACAGGUGAAGAGGGCUGGUUGAACACUGGGCAAAGAGGCAACUCGGUGUCCAGCCCCUCAGCUGCAGCCCUCUGGUGAGGCACAGCACAGGUUUGCAGGACAUGACGCACCACACAUCUAAUGGUGGUGAGAGGAUGAGCUCACAGGGUGAAGUUCGCCUGUCCCUCCAGGCAGGCAGUGAGAAGUCUUCCUUGGGGAUGUGACCAGCCCUAGGGGAGACAGAGACACCCAGGGGCACUUCCAACAUGGAAGCAGCCCAACCACAUCAUCCUACAGCAGAAGUUCUCAGUGCACUCCUUGGAGAAGCAGCAACAGCACCUGGGAACUUGCUGGAAGUACAAAUUCUUGGGCCCACUGGACCUACUUGAAGCAGAAACUCUGGAAUCUGUGUUUUCCCCAGCCCUCUGGGUGAUUCUGAUGCUGGCUACAGUUUUGAGAAUCACCACCCUCAACGCUGCUCACAGCCUUGAACAGCAGCCACACACCCGGAUUUCCAGUCGGCUACUUAGUGGCUCUUAAGUAGGCGCAGACAACUAGGACACAGAGGACAUCUGUGGAAAACCUCCACCAUGAGAGGCCAAAACAAACAGAGCAAACUACCUGGAGGAAACAGAGGCACUGCAGGGAGAGGAACUAGGCAUCAUUAAAAUUCUCCAAGAGGCAACCAUGAGGCAGCAGCAACGUGAUUAAAAAAAAAAAAGGAAUCUUCAGAGGACAAAAACAGCUCCCAAAAAAUAAAAAUAAUAUCAGAAGUAAAAAAUUAUACAGAAAUUUUACAAGAUAUGGUUGAGAAAUUCUAACAGAAAAUGAAACCAAAAGAAAGAGAUAAAAAGAAGCAGGAAACAAAUAAUGUGAGGACACCAGUCCAGGAGGCCCGACCCUGACAUACUUCCAAGAGCUGGCAGGGACUGGAGAAGAGGAUUCAAAGCAAAAAUUCAUCGUGUCCCAGAGCCAAAGACACUGGAUGCAAACUGUCCCACAUCCUGUAACCCCAGGAUCAAGGCACUUCCAGUGAACCCCCAGAGAGCACGAGGUGCAAAAUGAUCACAAAGGAUCAAGAAUCAGAGUCUCUGGAUUUCAAGCAAGACCUUCAAAAUAUGCCUCCCAUGAAUCCUUUUCUCCUAAACCACUGGAGGAUGCACUCCAACAAAACAAGAGUGCAGCCCAAGAAGAAGUCCAUAAACAACACCUUAUUGAGAGCAGGGUGGGAGCCAAGGGUAUCCCUGGGUGGCAAAUGCAUGAGGUGCAGUGAGCUGGGAAUGAAGGUUUCUUCAGCAGAUGAAACUGCAGAAUGCCUGGUGUAACCGUCUUAGAGGAGACUGAGGCAGCUGGCUGAGGGCAUGAGGUUUCAUUAAUGCUAAGUAUAUAGACAAUUAAGCAACCACCACAAAACAAGAACAAUAACCCAAACUAUACAUUAGGGGAAGUAACAGCAAAGCCCUUUUGCUCUAUUGGGAAGAUGACAAAUACUUAAAACUGAAAACAUGUGAAGCAGUUGCUCACAAGCCUCUUACAUGGAGAUAUGGAGGAAAUAUCCCACAGUGUGGCUAACAGCUGACAGGUGGAGUUGCUAGGAAAGGAAGGGAGCCCAAGCCUGCCCCUCCCUUAACAAACC
rnacentral:lncRNA from 10 species